rnacentral:rRNA from 1 species
UGACCUCGGAUCAGGUAGGGAUACCCGCUGAACUUAAGCAUAUCAAUAAGCGGAGGAAAAGAAACCAACCGGGAUUGCCCUAGUAACGGCGAGUGAAGCGGCAAGAGCUCAAAUUUGAAAGCUGGCCCCCUCGGGGUCCGCAUUGUAAUUUGCAGAGGAUGCUUCGGGAACGGCCCCCAUCUAAGUGCCCUGGAACGGGCCGUCAUAGAGGGUGAGAAUCCCGUCUGGGAUGGGGUGGCCGCGCCCGUGUGAAGCUCCUUCGACGAGUCGAGUUGUUUGGGAAUGCAGCUCUAAUUGGGUGGUAAAUUUCAUCUAAAGCUAAAUAUUGGCCGGAGACCGAUAGCGCACAAGUAGAGUGAUCGAAAGAUGAAAAGCACUUUGAAAAGAGAGUUAAACAGCACGUGAAAUUGUUGAAAGGGAAGCGCUUGCGACCAGACUCGCCCGCGGGGUUCAGCCGGCACUCGUGCCGGUGUACUUCCCCGCGGGCGGGCCAGCGUCGGUUUGGGCGGCCGGUCAAAGGCCUCUGGAAGGUAACGCCUCUCGGGGCGUCUUAUAGCCAGGGGUGCCAUGCGGCCUGCCCGGACCGAGGAACGCGCUUCGGCUCGGACGCUGGCAUAAUGGUCGUAAGCGACC